AGAUGACAAAACAAUCAUAUGCCACAGCACUCCAUUCCAUAGAAUUUCUUUUAAGUUUAAGAUGAAAAUAGCAAGGCCAUAUGAAGGACAACAUAGUGCCGGUGAAGGAGCCAAUGAAGCCCAUGAGAAUACUGAAAUGCGGUCGACCUCUGAAAAAUGCUCUUUCGAGGAGUUCACAAGCAGCAUAAUAUGGAAGAGGAUAAGACAAUACAGCUUUAACUACCAGACAAAAAUUGACUAAACCUUUGAAGCCAGGUGAAUGAAGAUUGUUCGUGAUCACCUGUUGCGUAUCGUUCUGAAAAGUCAGAAAGCAAAUCCAUCCAAAGAGAGAUUUAAAGGCUGCAGCAGCUAUAUGACUCCAAUUUAACAUCCAAUUGAACUUGGAACGAUCUAUCAGAUUCCCUUCUAAUGUUGGCAGAAAGAUUUGAGAGACCAUCCCCAAUCACCUAUCUCCAAGAUGCAGUAACCAACGAUAAUGAAAUUUAUGAAAAGAUGAGACAUUGUACACCAAAAGCUGAGCAUUGAUACAUGUUGCAAAGAUUUGAGAAAGCCAAGAGGAAGUAAAAAUAUGCCUAUCAGCAUCAUCCAACUUCUUGUAUCGAUAGCACCUUCGGGAAAAGAGCCGAUCAUUAAAUCACCACAUACAACAACGUAUAAGAUGCAGGUCAUCAACAAUUCUAUUAUUUGUGCAAUGUUUACUGCCCUUGCACCCCAUCUUGGACCGAAACAUUCUUUGGCAAUGGCUACGUAAGAAUCUCGUACUCUUACACGCUGCCCUGUUACUGUGUCGAACUCAUACAAACACUCGACGAGAAUCUUACCAGUGUAACAACAGAUAUGUGCAAUACCGACCAUUGCUGCGAUUGCCCAAUAGCCUCCUCGCAGGACUGCGAAUGCUCAUCAGCACUGAAAAAUGCAGAGAGGCAGUCAUGAAGGCUAACAACUGGACCCCAAAACCAAGAACGCAUCCAUUGCAAAAACCAUGAAAGCCAACCAUUCUGAUUAGUUACAUAAACGACAUCAGAACAUGGACCUGCCUUCUGAGGUGUAAGAGAUCCCUGAUGCAACAUGUCAAUGUGAUCUCUACUUGGAAUAGGUAGUGAUAAAUCUUGAAAUGUUUCUACUCUUGUAGAAAUCCUGUCACACGUUAGACACUGUACACUGCUUAAAAGCUUACCAUCAAAAAUAUCACUUAUGAUACUUCUUGUUUUCAUUUGUUUUUUGGUACGAUGUUUGGCAGGUGAGUUUGGUGCAGACCGCUGCUGCUGAGGAAAAGAUUGCUCAACGGUAGAUUUUUUAAUACUUCUAUUAGUAAACUUAUUUCUUAAUUUUUCUGAUUGAGAAACCCGAGAAUAACGUCUCUUUGUACCACGUUCUCCUUCAUCGCUUAAAGAACUCUGCUCGCUUACUCCCGAAUCGCAUGUUUCAUAUUCACCAUCUGACUGACUCGAACCGUUUCCAUCUACUUCAGUUUCAUCAUCAUCAUCAGAUGAAUGUUCUCCAAGGCCUUUCAAUCUUAGCAAUAUAUCUUUGUCAUCUUCUAUGUGUUCCUUUAAUUCUUCAUGCAAUUGGUCCAUAAAACAUCUUAAGAAUUCUUGUGUGUCGUGCUGAUGAUAUCCUCUAAACAUAGGAUGAACCGUUCUAAUACCUGAUAAAAUGCCAUGCGGCACAACAUAUCCACGUGUUUUCCUAUUCCACAUAUCUCGGAUAAGAUUUAAAUAACUUAAACUUAAUGCAGGCUUCUUAUCUUUGGACAUAUAAUGUACCAAAUGACCACAGUCCAAAAAAAACUGAGUCAACGGUGGCACAUUGGAUAACGCUUGAAGUGCUGCAUUCAUGUAACAAGUAUUACCUAUAUUUUGAAGACCAACUAAACCUCUUGGUUUACCAGAAAAAUCUUUACUUUCAUCCGAAUCCGUGCUAUCUGGAGAGUCACCAGAUUUCUCAUUAAAGAAUCCUCUAUCGUUAUUUACUUUAUUUACAAACCAUUCUCCGUAGAAUCUAUAAUUGAUAAAAAUCACAAUGUCGAUAUGUUGAUAUAAAAAAAGUAACGUAUACAUUAA